UCAGAUACUCUCGAGGAGCGAGAAAGAAAGCGGCUGCGAGAUAUCUUUGCAGAACCAUCUGACGAGGAUUCUUUUGAAGGGUUUACUGAGAGAAUGGAGGAAGAGAUGGUUAGCUCGGAAGAGGAUGACAUGGAAUGGACUCGUGUAAGGGAGGAUUUGGGUGCCACUGGCAAUGAUAGUAUGGGAGGCGAUUGGGGACCUUCAGGAUUAGACCCAUGGGCAGGCUGGAGGGAUGGGACGGGAUCCACAGCUGGGGAUGCUGUGGGGCGUAGUCAGAGGUGUUCCAGCUCUGAUGAGGAAAGUGAUGAGGAAACGCCCGGGCUAAGGAGGGCAGCUGAUAGUGAUGAGGACUUGUAACUGGCAUAAAAUGGGGUUUGGGAGCAAUAGCAAAUUGCGUUGGGCAAGGUAAUCUGGACGAACGCUUGGGAUCUGUGUGGGAAGUUUCCUGAAGACGGGUGUGAUUCGUUUGCUGACUACCUUUGACCUUCCGUCGUCUUCUUGACGGACGCCAUCUGCUUGUACUGGACAUACGGACUUCUUGACUACGGCCUCGGAUUCUCCUACCUGUGUUAGACCUGGUGAACUACAAACGUCUGCAUCUACCUUACGACCUUCGGAACGGAUUGGGACCUCGCUGACUGCUUAAGCCCUCGCCUGCUGUGUUGUAUCGGGAAUCUGCCUGCUGUGUGGAGGAGUAACCUUUAAAGUUACUCAAACAUAGCUUUUGGCAGCAGAGAAGUAUCUGCUGCCAAUUAGUUGCAUUCCUUUGAACUCUUUGUUCACCAGCUUCUGUUUUGUUUAUUCCCAGGCUGAAGCAAGCUGUUUUGGUUUUGCCCGGAUUAAACUCCGGUUUAAUCCGGUUUAUCUUUUGAACGUUUUUCUGUUCUCUUUUUACUUUUAAGGCCAGUGUUUGCCUAGCCCUUGUCUUUUACGGGCAUUUUGAGUUCUGUAAUUCCAAUAAACUCUGUUAUCUUUGA